rnacentral:lncRNA from 1 species
GAGCUGGAAACACAUACUGUUUGUACUUCAUGUGGAAGGACAGCGGCUGUCGGCAUGCUGACCCUGGCUUUUUUUUUGACCAUUCUCCAAACAUUGCCAUUAGUGUUUGAGCAGAGUUCCUUAUGACAUGAUGUGUGCCCUACACAACAACAUUGUGGAUACUGGGUGAAAACAUCCUAUCAAAUGAAGCAAAGGAAGUGGCUGACAAUCAAUAUAAGCCCAGGGUAAGGCUAAGAUGGAAGAGAGCAAACAUCUCCAACACAAUGCAAGGAUUACCUUAUGGCAUCCAAUUGUUUUCCUCCCUAUUCCCUUUCUCAAAUAUUCCUGAAGCCUUGGCAGCAGAUGCUGAUGCCAGUUAAUGACUUCCUCAAAUAUUCCUGCUUGGCAGAGGCAUAACCAGCAAUUGAAAGCUAUGAAGAUUUCUGAGCCAUAGCAGGCACACCACUUGACUUUGUCAAUGCUCAGCACAUGUCACCCUACCAUAAUGCAAGUCAUAUAUUUUUGAAACUAUUAUAAAAGACAAGUGUGGUCCGUGCUACGGUAAGUAGCAAUUAGUCCAUGUAUUAAGAAAUUCUCUCAAAACCAUAAAUGUAUAGAUACUUGUACAGAGUCAAGAUGUUGAAAGAAAUUUAAUAGCCACUUCCUGAAAUUAAGCUAUUUAGACAAAAACCUCAUUAAUGUUCUAUUAAUUUGUAGGAUUUCCA